UUCCCACCAUGACGAUAAUGGACUAAACCUCUGAAUGAUCAUAGGAGCUAUUCAGACAACAGCCUCCACAUCCUGUCAAGAACCACAUGGAUACCUUCCCGGGCACAGAUGUUAAAGGGAGUCCUCUGUACAGAGCCACACAUUCUAUGACUACUUCAUUCAUUCCUCUAAGGCAAGCACUGUUCGACUGUGUGUGUGUGUGUGUGUGUGUGUUUGCUUUGUGGUGCAGGAGAUCUGAACCCAGGGUCUUGCAUAUACAUGGCAAACACUGUAAAACUAAAAUCCCACCAGAGUCCUAUCCUCAUCUGUUAACAAAGACAACACCCGUUGCAUUCACAAUCAUGAGUUUAAGGCUCUCUGCCACAGCGGGUUUGCUGGAAUAGCAACAAGAAACUAGCCAAGAGGCCAGUUCAGAAGUUGAAAAUUUUUGCUCAUCAGCUGGUUUCAAAGGACAGUAGAAUGGCCUGGUCACUUGUCUCUGGUGGUAGGACUGACAUGAUCAAUGUUCAUCUGCCAUGCUUUUCCUCUUUAGGAAGAACACAUUUAAAAAUGUUUCAGAAUAAGACUUUGGACCAAUUUUGUUGCUUUUCACCAAAAC